rnacentral:lncRNA from 1 species
CUCAUUGUGCUCAAAAAUGUGUAUUUCUUGGUUUCUUAAGGGUACAUAAGCGAUACUGAUGCUACUCACCUAACCUCCAGUGGUACCUUAUGUUCGCCAAAGCUACUUUCUUUAACGAUUACCCUACUUUACAUCCUCCUCUGCUGAACAUCUAGGCAUUUAUGAGGUUUUACAAAUUCUAUUUUUUGGGGAUUCCGCCAUUGUCUUUCCUUCCACAGCUCCACCUCCACCACUUUUGACUUAUCAUCGUCGACUACACCCUUCAUCUUGCCUAGACAAUUCACACCCAACACCAAAUUCUUUGCUUGAUGCAGACUUGUCUUCACAAAGUUCUUCCAUUACCCCUUGGAAAGGUAUUUGUUCUACAUGUAACCCUAAUCAUAUCUAUAUUUAUCUGAGUUAUCAUUGUUUAUCACUAGCUCAUUAUGUCUUUAUAUCAUCUAUUUCUAUUCCACAGACUACAGGUGAAGUCUUUCUCACAUAGGCUGGCGAC